rnacentral:rRNA from 1 species
UACGGGGGGGGCAAGCGUUGUUCGGAAUUACUGGGCGUAAAGGGCUUGUAGGUGGCCAACUAAGUCAAACGUGAAAUCCCUCAGCUUAACUGGGGAACUGCGUCUGAUACUGGAUGGCUUGAGUUUGGGAGAGGGAUGCGGAAUUCCAGGUGUAGCGGUGAAAUGCGUAGAUAUCUGGAGGAACACCGGUGGCGAAGGCGGCAUCCUGGACCAACACUGACACUGAGGAGCGAAAGCCAGGGGAGCAAACGGG